rnacentral:misc_RNA from 1 species
AAACCUUCAAGCUUUGCUUGGUGUUGGGUGUUUGUCUCAGCGUUUACUCUGUAGACUCGCCUGGAAUAAAUUGGCAGCCAGUAAUUGGGUGCUAGAGUGCAGUACAUUUUGCGUUCUUGACCAUAAGCGUUGGCGUCCACAAAGCUUAUUUUAAC